rnacentral:misc_RNA from 1 species
GGGUUGGGGUUUAUUGAUUCUUAGCAUAUUGUAUACCUGUAAAACAGUUUUGCAUUACAUGGCUAUAAGCCUAUAGAGGCAAAAAUGAAGGUGCGUUGGCAUUGUAUUCUAGGUUUUCGUUCAUUGAAAGAGAAAGUUGAGUAUCUUACAAUGACUCACGAGCAAAAGGCUGUAGUUGUAUAUUUCAUUAGAGAUCCAAUUAUUUGGUAGCCCAACUUAAGAAACUUGCAUAACCUGAGUACGCUUUUGGUGCGGCAAAAUUGUUGCAUUGGAUAGUUUAUGACAUUCAUAACAACUCUCUUUCUUCUCUCUCAUAACAUUCUCUAAUAUUUUUAGGUGAAGUAAAUGGCCUAUACUGUUUUGCUUGUUUUCUCUUUG